rnacentral:tRNA from 1 species
AAGAUAUUAGUAAAAACAUAACGCCACUUUGUCAAGGUGAAAUUACAAGUGAAACUCUUGUAUAUCUUA